rnacentral:rRNA from 1 species
AACGAACGCUGGCGGCGUGGAUAAGACAUGCAAGUCGGACGAGAUUUUCCGUUGUAGCAAUACGAUGGAAAGUCUAGUGGCGAACGGGUGCUUAACACGUGGGCAACCUGCCAUGAAGUGGGGGAUAGCUCGCCGAAAGGCGAAUUAAUACCGCAUGUGAUUAGAGAGGACAUCCUUUCGAAACUAAAGUCGGGGCAACCUGACGCUUCUUGUGGGGCCCGCGGCCUAUCAGCUAGUUGGUGAGGUAAUGGCUCACCAAGGCUUUGACGGGUAGCUGGUCUGAGAGGACGACCAGCCACACUGGGACUGAGACACGGCCCAGACACCUACGGGUGGCAGCAGUCGAGAAUUUUUGACAAUGGGGGAAACCCUGAUCGAGCGACGCCGCGUGGAGGAUGAAGGUCUUCGGAUUGUAAACUCCUGUCAUUGGGGAACAAGCUGCAUACGUUAACUGCGUGUGCAUUGAUAGUACCCGAAGAGGAAGAGACGGCUAACUCUGUGCCAGCCGCCGCGGUAACAC